CGUGUAGGCGGCCAAGCAAGUCAGAGGUGAAAGCCCUGGGCUCAACCUGGGAACUGCCUUUGAAACUGCUUGGCUUGAGACCGGAAGAGGAUGGCGGAAUUCCCAGUGUAGAGGUGAAAUUCGUAGAUAUUGGGAAGAACACCGGUGGCGAAGGCGGCCAUCUGGUCCGGUUCUGACGCUGAGGCGCGAAAGCGUGGGGAGCAAACAG
rnacentral:rRNA from 1 species